UGGACUACUCGGGUUUCUAAUCCCUUUCGCUCCCCUGGCCUUCGUGCCUCAGCGUCAGUUAAUGUCCAGGAACCCGCCUUCGCCACGAGUGUUCCUCUCGAUAUCUACGCAUUUCACUGCUACACCGAGAAUUCCGGUUCCCCCUCCAUUACUCUAGUCUCGCAGUAUCAUGUGCAGUCCGGGGGUUGAGCCCCCGCCUUUCACACACGACUUACGAAACCGCCUACGCACGCUUUACGCCCAGUGAUUCCGAACAACGCUUGAGACCUCUGUAUUACCGCGGCUGCUGGCACAGAGUUAGCCGUCUCUUCCUCUUGUGGUACUAUCUUUUUAAUUUGCUCCCACAUGACAGGGGUUUACAAUCCGAAGACCUUCAUUCCCCCACGCGGCGUCGCACCAU
rnacentral:misc_RNA from 1 species